rnacentral:rRNA from 1 species
AACGAACGCUGGCGGCAUGCCUAACACAUGCAAGUCGAACGAGACCUUCGGGUCUAGUGGCGCACGGGUGCGUAACGCGUGGGAACCUGCCCUUAGGUUCGGAAUAACUCCCCGAAAGGGGUGCUAAUACCGGAUAAUGUCUUCGGACCAAAGAUUUAUCGCCUUUGGAUGGGCCCGCGUUGGAUUAGCUAGUUGGUAGGGUAAAAGCCUACCAAGGCGACGAUCCAUAGCUGGUCUGAGAGGAUGAUCAGCCACACUGGGACUGAGACACGGCCCAGACUCCUACGGGAGGCAGCAGUGGGUAAUAUUGGACAAUGGGCGAAAGCCUGAUCCAGCAAUGCCGCGUGAGUGAUGAAGGCCUUAGGGUCGUAAAGCGCUUUUACCCGGGAUGAUAAUGACAGUACCGGGAGAAUAAGCUCCGGCUAACUCCGUG